UGGGUCGGCCAGACGGCCGCGACAUCCGGUGCCGCUGGCACAGCGGUGUCGAGGAACGUCCGGGCUCCACAGGGCAGGACGGUGGGUAACACCCACCCGGGGUAACCCGCGAGACAGUGCCACAGAAAACAGACCGCCCCGGGUUGGUUCGGGGUAAGGGUGAAACGGUGGGGUAAGAGCCCACCAGCGGUCGCGGUGACGUGAUCGGCUCGGUAAACCUCGUCCGGAGCAAGGUCAGACAGGGAACAAUGGGACUGCCCGUUCCGUUCCCGGGUAGGCUGCUAGAGGGCUGCGGCAACGUAGUCCCGAGAUAGAUGGUCGUCGAACCGUGUGUCGCAAGACCGCGGGGAACAGAACCCGGCGUAUCGGCCGACCUGCUCA
rnacentral:RNase_P_RNA from 1 species